CAUCCAGUCCAUUUGAUAGUGAUUGGCAUCAAGAACACCUUUGGAUUUCUUCUUUUGGACUGUUGAGGUUUUUUGUUCUACUGAUUUGUUGGUGUUGUGUCUUUCCAGAAAACUCAUAUACAGUGAUCUUGAAGCUAUAUUCCACUCACCCUUGCCAAGAGCAUAGACCCUAUUACUGCCUAGCAUCUUUUCUUGAAUAUGGGAGCAAUUACUUUAGUUGAAAGUCAUGAAGUGCACUUAGG